GUCCGAGUGGCGGAAUUUGGCAGACGCACUAGAUUUAGGCUCUAGUGCCGAAAGGCGUGUGGGUUCGAGUCCCACCUUGGACA
rnacentral:tRNA from 1 species